rnacentral:snRNA from 1 species
GCUAUACUUACUUUGGCAGCAUAUACUAAAAUUAAAACAAUACAGAGAAGAUUAGCAUGGCCCCUGUGCAAGGAUGACAUGCAAAUUCAUAGUGUUCCAUAUUUUU